UACUCGCGGUCCAAGUCGCAGCCAUCAUUAUUGGGUCUAAAACAUCCGUAGCUUGCUUAAUAAGUUUCUUGUGAAAUUCCAUGUCUCAAAUAUGGAGCGGGCAAGAAGUACUGUUAAGCUAGAGACUGGAAGACGUAAGAAGUACGUUUGGAGUAGCGGUAAAAUGUGUUAAUCCCAGACGGACUAACAACAGCGAAGGCAUCUUACGAGGACAGUUCUGACAGUAAGGGAUGAAGGCUAGGGGCGCAAAAGGGAUUAGAUACCCCGGUAGUCCCUGA
rnacentral:rRNA from 1 species